CAAUAGCGUAUAUUAAAGUUGUUGCAGUUAAAAGCUCGUAGUUGGAUUUCUGGUGGGAGCGAUCGGUCCGCGCCGCAAGGCGUGCGUACUAGUGUCGUCUCUGGCCAUCCUUGUGGAGAGCGGUUCUGGUAUUAAGUUAUCGGGGUCGGGAUCCACAUCAUUUACUGUGAAAAAUUAGAGUGUUCAAAGCAGGCGUCCGCCGUUGAAUACAUUAGCAUGGAAUAAUAAGAUAGGACUUUGGUGGUCUAUUUUGUUGGUUUGCACACCAAGGUAAUGAUUAAUAGGGAUAGUUGGGGGUAUUCAUAUUUCAUUGUCAGAGGUGAAAUUCUUGGAUUUAUGAAAGAUGAACUAAUGCAAAAGCAUUUACCAAGGAUGUUUUCAUUAAUCAAGAACGAAAGUUAGGGGAUCGAAGACGAUUAGAUACCAU
rnacentral:rRNA from 1 species